GCAUCGGCAAAAUCCGGUGCCGGGAUUGGCGUCCCGGAUAACUAAACGGCGCACAACACGCGCACUGCGUGUUUUUU
rnacentral:sRNA from 5 species